rnacentral:piRNA from 1 species
GUCACGUGAUCGUGGGUGUCCGGC